UAUAUUGGGUGAGGAUGGGAUAAUCUGCAUCCUGAGGUUUAAAACAAUAGUUACGUAAUUACCCCUAAAAAAAUUAGUUACAUAAUCGUUUCUAAGCCUUGGAGUGCAGAUUAUCUUUUCCUUAUCACCUAUGC
rnacentral:pre_miRNA from 1 species